rnacentral:rRNA from 1 species
GAUGAACGCUGGCGGCGUGCCUAAUACAUGCAAGUCGAGCGAACGGACGAGAAGCUUGCUUCUCUGAUGUUAGCGGCGGACGGGUGAGUAACACGUGGAUAACCUACCUAUAAGACUGGGAUAACUUCGGGAAACCGGAGCUAAUACCGGAUAAUAUUUUGAACCGCAUGGUUCAAAAGUGAAAGACGGUCUUGCUGUCACUUAUAGAUGGAUCCGCGCUGCAUUAGCUAGUUGGUAAGGUAACGGCUUACCAAGGCAACGAUGCAUAGCCGACCUGAGAGGGUGAUAGGCCACACUGGAACUGAGACACGGUCAAGACUCCUACGGGAGGCAGCAGUAGGGAAUCUUCCGCAAUGGGCGAAAGCCUGACGGAGCAACGCCGAGUGAGUGAUGAAGGUCUUCGGAUCGUAAAACUCUGUUAUUAGGGAAGAACAUAUGUGUAAGUAACUGUGCACAUCUUGACGGUACCUAAUCAGAAAGCCACGGCUAACUACGUG